rnacentral:rRNA from 1 species
AUUGAACGCUGGCGGCAGGCCUAACACAUGCAAGUCGAACGAGUGGCGGACGGGUGAGUAAUGUCUGGGAAACUGCCUGAUGGAGGGGGAUAACUACUGGAAACGGUAGCUAAUACCGCAUACCAUCGGAUGUGCCCAGAUGGGAUUAGCUAGUAGGAGGGGUAAAGGCUCACUUAGGCGACGAUCCCUAGCUGGUCUGAGAGGAUGACCUGCCAGGCUGGAACUGAGACACGGUCCAGACUCCUACGGAGGGCAGCAGUGGGGAUUAUUGCACAAUGGGCGCAAGCCUGAUGCAGCCAUGACGCGUGUAUGAAGAAGGCCUUCGAGUUGUAAAAUACUUUCAGCGGGGAGGCGUUACCCGCAGAAGAAGCACCGGCUAACUCCGUGCCGGCCGCCGCGGUAAUAC